GCCACUAAGCCGGUGCCCUGAAAAAGCAAUAUUGAUCUCUUGCAUAUUCCCUGGUCCGUGACGUUAUAUGUGAGCUGCUGGGGCUGCACCUGCUCUUCAUAUCCUUCGAUCUCUCUCUCUCUCUCUCUCUCUCUCCCUCUCUCACUCCUCUCUAGUCAGGACCGGGAAGAACAAGGGCUCUGUUUCACAAGACCAGACCCAUUGCCUCUCUCUGCAAACCUUAAGUUGCAGAGAGUUCAUUUGGAGCUGAAAAGCGGCGAUUCGAGAAACGAUGCGCUACGAGCUAUGGUUUGCACUGCUAGUGAUUUACAGGGGUGGAAGGAUUUUCCUAAGGGCCUUAGAGUUCUUCUCCUUGAUGGAGAUAGCAGUUCUUCAGCUGAGAUAAGAACAAAGCUUGAGGAAAUGGAGUAUGUUGUUGUGACUUACUGCAAUGAGAAUGAUGCAUUGUCAGCCAUUUCGAGCAAACCCGAUACCUUUCAUGUCGCCAUUGUGGAGGUAACGACGAGCAGUCACGAUGGGAAUUUUAAGUUUCUUGAAGCUGCUAAGGACUUGCCUACCAUUAUGAUUUCGAAUAUCCAUUGCCUAAGCACGAUGAUGAAGUGCAUAGCGCUCGGUGCAAUCGAGUUCCUUCAGAAACCGCUCUCGGAGGACAAACUGAGGAAUAUUUGGCAACAUGUUGUUCAUAAGGCGUUCAAUGCAGGCGGUAGCGCCAUCCCCAGUUCUUUAAAACCUAUCAAAGAAUCUGUUGCCUCCAUUCUGCAUCUAGAAUCAGAAAACAGUGAAAACGAUAAUCCAGUCCCGAAAGAGUUGGAAAUAUCGAACGUUGAUGAUGACAAUGAUCGUGAACUACUAGAAGGAAGUGAUAAGUAUCCAGCUCCUUCAACUCCUCAGCAGAAGCACGGAAUGCGGCUGGUGGACGAUGGCGACUGCCAGGAUCAAUUGAACUGUUUGCUCGAAAAAGAGUGCGGGGAGCAAGACGGGGAAUCCAAAUCUGUCGAAACUACUUGUAUCAAUUCGCUUGGUGAAGGCAUUUCCCAAGUGGAGAACACUCAGUUACUUGACAAAGAAGGAAUAAAAGAGGAAGAGAACUCUGCUGAUGGCUGUGGGGCUGCGAGUAACGACGAUCACGAGAUACAUGAUCAAGACAUCAUUAGCAGUUCCGAAGAAAACAAGAGCAAAGCAUGUGGUCUCGGUAAUUCGAGUGGGACGAAAGUUAGUAGGAAGAAGCUGAAGGUAGACUGGACGCCCGAACUGCACCGAAAGUUCGUACAGGCAGUGGAACAACUCGGAGUGAAUCAAGCAAUUCCUUCUCGAAUUCUCGAGCUGAUGAAAGUUGAAGGCUUGACAAGGCAUAAUGUAGCAAGUCAUCUUCAGAAGUAUCGGAUGCACAAGAGACAUAUCUUGCCAAAACAAGACGACUCGAGUUGGUCUCAUUCAAAGGAUCCAAUGAGGAAGAAUUCCUAUUCACAGAGACCUGUGAUGGCCUUCCCUCCUCCUUAUCAUUCAAAUCAUGUAAUGCCAGUGGCUCCGAUCUACCCGCCGUGGGGUCAUAUGGCAUGCCCCUCGCCCAGUGUCCAAAUGUGGGUGUCGCCCGGUUAUCCGUCCUGGCAACCACAAGAAAUUUGGCCAUGGAAGUCAUAUCCUGGGAUGUAUGCUGAUGCAUGGGGUUGCCCUGUGACACCACCUACUCAUAGCCCUCUCCCUUCUCAUCUUCCUCAAGUGGCAGCCUAUUUUCAGAUUUGAAAAUGCCGACGCACACGAUAAAAGCUAUGGCAUUGCGUUCAAUCCAAUCGAACUUCAACUGGCUGAUGAAGAAAUUGACAAAGUGGUGAGAGAGGCAAUCAGUAAGCCAUGGUUACCAUUGCCUUUGGGGCUAAAGCCACCUUCAACAGAAAGUGUACUGUCUGAGCUCUCAAGACAAGGCAUCUCAACCGUCCCUUCUCAAAUCAACGGCUCUAAACUACUCCAAUAACAGUCCAUCAAAAGCUCAUUUGGGCCCUUCCACUGUCUGAGCUGAUUUGGACCAUCUGAUUUUCAUCAUCUGCAAUAAAAAAAAAAAAAGAAAAAAAAAAAGAAAAAAGAGAGGGAAGGGACAAGUGGAGCCCAAAAUCAAGAUUGGCACGUGCAGGGUCGUGUGGGGGUGUCCUUAAAAAGUGGGGCUGUGAUCCACUGUUUCAUCAGUCCAUUGUGCAAUGGACGACUGAGGAAGAGCCACGAAGGUGAGUUUGAGAACACAAGUUUGAGGUGUGGCUGUGAGGAUAGCAGAAAAAGGAGGGGGGGUGGUGGGUUGGUGAGUGUUGGAGUAGUGGAGGAUGAAAUAAUUGAAUUCAUUAGAUUUUUUUAGAGAGAGAGAGAGAGAGGGAGAGAAGAUCAGAUGAUGAUGGUGAUGUGUUCUUUUCUGAUGGGACCAUAAUUUGAGACUUUCUUCAAUAAUGUAAAAUGACUAUGAACUUUUGGUGCCAUACUGUUUGUUUCCUUUAGGAUAAUAAAGUUUUGAUAGGAACUGUUUUGUUUUGUUUGUC